ACCCAGGUCAGUCGGGACUACCCGCUGAGUUUAAGCAUAUAAAUAAGCGGAGGAGAAGAAACUUACGAGGAUUCCCCUAGUAACGGCGAGCGAACCGGGAGCAGCCCAGCUUGAGAAUCGGGCGGCCUCGCCGCCCGAAUUGUAGUCUGGAGAGGCGUCCUCAGCGACGGACCGGGCCCAAGUUCUCUGGAAAGGGACGCCUGGGAGGGUGAGAGCCCCGUCCGGCCCGGACCCUGUCGCACCACGAGGCGCCGUCAACGAGUCGGGUUGUUUGGGAAUGCAGCCCAAAUCGGGCGGUAAACUCCGUCCAAGGCUAAAUACAGGCGAGAGACCGAUAGCGAACAAGUACCGCGAGGGAAAGAUGAAAAGGACUUUGAAAAGAGAGUCAAAGAGUGCUUGAAAUUGCCGGGAGGGAAGCGGAUGGGGGCUG
rnacentral:rRNA from 12 species